rnacentral:rRNA from 1 species
UACGAAGGGGGCUAGCGUUGCUCGGAAUUACUGGGCGUAAAGCGCACGUAGGCGGAUUGUAAGUCAGGGGUGAAAUCCCGGGGCUCAACCUCGGAACUGCCUUUGAUACUGAGAAGCUUGAGUCCGGAAGAGGAGAGUGGAAUUCCUGGUGUAGCGGUGAAAUGCGCAGAUAUCAGGAAGAACACCUAUGGCGAAGGCAGCUCUCUGGGACGGUACUGACGCUGAGACGCGAAAGCGUGGGGAGCGAACAGG